rnacentral:rRNA from 1 species
UGGGGAAUAUUGCACAAUGGGCGCAAGCCUGAUGCAGCCAUGCCGCGUGUAUGAAGAAGGCCUUCGGGUUGUAAAGUACUUUCAGUCGGGAGGAAGGUGGUAAGGUUAAUAACCUUAUCAAUUGACGUUACCGACAGAAGAAGCACCGGCUAACUCCGCGCCAGCAGCCGCGGUAAUACGGAGGGUGCAAGCGUUAAUCGGAAUUACUGGGCGUAAAGCGCACGCAGGCGGUUGAUUGAGUCAGAUGUGAAAACCCCGGGCUUAACCCGGGAAUUUCAUCUGAUACUGGUCAGCUAGAGUCGUGUAGAGGGGGGUAGAAUUCCAUGUGUAGCGGUGAAAUGCGUAGAGAUGUGGAGGAAUACCGGUGGCGAAAGCGGCCCCCUGGACAAAGACAGACGCUCAGGUGCGAAAGCGUGGGGAGCAAACAGG